CCAUCCGUGUGGCGUGUUCAACGGGGGUGGAUGGAAGCAAGAUAGCACACUAGGGACUAGGUCUAAGGAGGAUAAGCAGAGGCAGGAGCGGCGGAGUUGAUGCGGGGCACUAGAGCUACAGCUCCUGAAGGGGUAGAGAGGUCGUGGAGGGAGGUGAGGGUGGGUCUGUUUAGGUCCUAUGCGGGGGUUUACGGUUGGGACGCCGUAGCUGCCUCGCACUGUUACAGCUGGCGGGCCGCUCCGCCGCUGAACGGCCUGAUCUACCACGCCUUGGAAGAUCUCGUCCUCUCAGAAGUAGCCUCCGUUCUGGUGGAUGUCGAGGAAGUAGAGGUAGGAGCAUCGGCGGCAGUCGAACAAGCACGAACAGGUGGCUAAGACGGUCAUUGUGUAGGAGCGGUUCCUGAAGAGGUUGGAGUUGCGGUACCAUUAAAACAUAAGAGAGCGGAGAGAGAAACGAACGACGGUCAAGUGAGCUAGUCGGAUCCAACAACCAUAAACGCUCUGUCCGUUUGUGAGUACGACCGAUAAUUUUACCUCUGAAAGUUAAAACCCACAAAAGUAUCCAUACACCAUGAUGAAACACUAUACACCGACCAACUACUUGCGACAUAUAAGGGUUAGGAAACCUUGUCUCUAAGAUGAACGCAACCAAUCUACGACCUAAAGUAGAAUAUGGAAGGAACCUUCCACUGUUGUCUUCUAUUCCAGACGCUGACCUUUUAUUCAUACGACAAACCCGUAAAAGUAAAAUUAUACAAGACGACUACUGGCUUAAACACACUUCUAAUUCCACAGAUGGAACAUCUUUUUUUAUGGUUAGUAGAUCGUUAAAGGAAAUUCAUAAUAUCAUAAGGACUAGGUGGCAACACCAACAACCGAACGCGGCAACACAUACAUGUGCGAUUACUGGUCGACCGGCGUCGAUUAAUGAGUAAUAGGGUAUACAAUUACUUGAUCCUACUUUAAUCUAUUAGGGUUUCGGUUGUUCGUUAUCGCGUACAUGCUAGCACCGACCGAAUAAAACUAGCUACUUAGCUAGUCUAGUACUGGAUACAUAUACGUACAAGUCGUGAAAGUGGCCGACCUAUAUCAUUGAAGUCAAGUCUAAACUAACACCGACAGUAGGAUCUCACAUCAUCGUCGACGACGAUCGUCGGAUUGCGACCUCGUGAACCACAUCGCGGCGCCGUAACCAGAAGUGUUGUCACACAAACGACGCGUGGCAGAAGGUGCUGCGCAACUAGAAGUCUCAGAAACUUGGACCGCAGUGUUGAGUAUCAACUCACGAUACCGACCCUGACAUUUCUUCACAAGUUUAAUACUAUCUAGUUUCGGGAAGUGUCCACUACUGCAUACAACCUACUACCUUACUAAUAAGACAAGACCACGAACGAAACUGAACCCACAAGUCUCUUCAUUUUGAAACUUGAUUGUAGAAAUCACUUCGUUGUAUAACAUAGACUUCACUUUGAAAGAGAAACUAUACCUCUACGCUCGUAGUUUGAUUGUAGGUAGAUUUCUAUUCUAACGGUUAUAUUUAGUUACUACGUACCGAGCCUUCAACCAACGUUUUAGUGCUUCCACCGAUGAUGAGCUAUCAAAAUCUAAUCCAAUAAUCUUACAGUAAGUUCAGUUACAAACUUUGUAAUACAAAAUCUACCGACCGUACAACUAACGUUCCAACUCUUAGUCUGAUGAUGAUCUAUCAAAGUGUAUGACAUUAGAAACAUAGUACGAGAAACAUUUCGUUGGCUCAACUAAAUUAUAUACACUGGAAAGAUUAAU
rnacentral:rRNA from 1 species